UUCCCAUUUCUGCUUCUCAACAUUGGGAUUGGCAUCUUAGACAAUGUGUUUGAAAAAAGAAAAGGUCUACCUGUUGAACUUAUACAUAAGCAAAUUACUGGUUAUGUCAGGGAAAUUAGUGAAGCUUUCCCUAGUCAGUCUUCUCUAUCCAAACAAGCCAAAUUAUUAACUUGGUCUCCACCUUGGAAACAUAAAAUUGAAUAUCAAAGGUAGUUUCAAGACACAAACUGUAGAUGCUGUUCUUGGAGGAUUUUUUAGAGAUAAUCAACACAAGUGGAUGUAGUGAUACUCAGAAAUUUUAAAAAUGGCUUCAAAGACCAUCAUUGCUGAAUUGAAUAAGGGUAAGAAACUCGAUGGUGACAAUUAUGAUAUUUGGCACCGUAAAAUUCAGUACGUCCUUGAAGAGCAGGAUGUUUUGGAGACUCUCAUUAAUGUUAUGGUUGAGCCGUCUAGUGGAAACACAUAGCAGCAUAAGAAACAAAAAGAGGCUUUUCAAGCCUGGGAGAAAAAAAAUAGUAUUGCUCGCAUAACGUUGCUGAGCAGUAUGGCUGAUGAUCUGAUGUGUGAAUUUGAAUUGUAUCCACGGCUCAAGCAAUGUGGAUAGCACUGAAAGAUAAGUUUGGUGGCACUUCUGCCACAAAAUUUAGGAGGUUGACCAUAAAGUUUGAUACCUAUAGAUUGCACCCUAACACAUCGAUGAGACAACACUUAAGAGAUAUGUCAAACAUGAUAAAAGAGCUAAAAUCAACUGGUUAUAAUCUUUACGAUGAGCAAUGAGUGCAAGUCGUUAUUAGAUCUUUUCCUGCUAGGUGGGAAUAUAUGAAAGUUUGACCCACAAUGAAAGUAUCAAGUAUUUUGAAGACAUUGAACACCAUCUUGUUCUUGAAGAUGAGCGUCGUGACGCUUCUAAAACAACUAAACAAGCUUUUCUAGCUGGAUCUGUUGGGACUUCUAAUCCUAAGUAAAAGAACACGAACAAGAAAGCUUGGAAGAAGAUGGGAUCUGGUACGCUCAAUCAGAAGGGUAAACCUCAAUUUAAGAAGAGAGGAAAGCGUGGUAAUAAAAAGGAGUGUUAUUCCUACCACAAGAUGGGUCAUUUUGCACGGGAUUGCCCGGAGCAGCAUAAGACUCAGGUGCCACAGACCACAUAGCCAGAGACAGAGGAUCAUUUGUUGAGUACCGCCGACUGCCUUCGGGAAGCAGAUGGGUUUAUAUAGGAAAUAAUGCUUCAGUUGAAGUAAAAGGACCGCCGGCUGCCUUCGGGAAGCAUAUGGCUUUCUAUAGCCAUCGAACACCACUUCUGUCUUAUAUGUUCCAGAUAUUCGGCGGAGCUUAGUUUCAGUUAUUUCUCUUCUUAAAUUAGAUUUCAGUUUAAAUUUUCACAAUAACUCUAUUGACAUUGUUCAUGGCAAUAAUUAUUAUGGUUCUGGUUAUUUAUCUGAUUGUUUUUUUGUGUUGGACACAAUUUGUGGUUUUAAUUAUAUAUCUAAUAAUCAUGGUUGUUUUGCUUGAACAACAGCCUAUAUUUUAGAUGUAAAUACUUGGCAUGCUAGACUUGGACAUAUAGGUCUUGAAAGAAUGAAUAGAUUGGCAAAAGAAGGAUUGUUAGGGU